AACGAACGCUGGCGGCAUGCCUAACACAUGCAAGUCGAACGAGACCUUCGGGUCUAGUGGCGCACGGGUGCGUAACGCGUGGGAACCUGCCCUUAGGUUCGGAAUAACUCCCCGAAAGGGGUGCUAAUACCGGAUAAUGUCUUCGGACCAAAGAUUUAUCGCCUUUGGAUGGGCCCGCGUUGGAUUAGCUAGUUGGUAGGGUAAAAGCCUACCAAGGCGACGAUCCAUAGCUGGUCUGAGAGGAUGAUCAGCCACACUGGGACUGAGACACGGCCCAGACCCCUACGGGAGGCAGCAGGGGGGAAUAUUGGAAAAGGGGCGAAAGCCUGACCCAGCAAUGCCGGGUGAGGGAUGAAGGCCUUAGGGUUGAAAAGCUCUUUUACCCGGGAUGAAAAUGACAGUACCGGGAGAAUAAGCCCCGGCUAACUCCGU
rnacentral:rRNA from 1 species